rnacentral:rRNA from 1 species
AGGGAGUUUGAUCCUGGCUCAGGAUGAACGCUAGCGGCAGGCUUAACACAUGCAAGUCGAGGGGCAGCGCGGGGUAGCAAUACCCUGGCGGCGACCGGCGAAAGGGUGAGUAACGCGUGAGCAACAUGCCCGACACUGGGGGAUAGUCAUUGGAAACGAUGCGUAAUACCCCGUAACACAAGGGACCGCAUGAUCCUUUGUUGAAAGAUUCAUUGGUGUCGGAUUGGCUCGCGUGCCAUUAGGUAGACGGCGGGGUAACGGCCCACCGUGCCGACGAUGGCUAGGGGUUCUGAGAGGAAGGUCCCCCACAUUGGAACUGAGACACGGUCCAGACUCCUACGGGAGGCAGCAGUGAGGAAUAUUGGACAAUGGCCGGAAGGCUGAUCCAGCCAUGCCGCGUGCGGGAUGACGGCCCUAUGGGUUGUAAACCGCUUUUGCCGGGGAGCAAUAAGGCCCACGCGUGGGCCGACGAGAGUACCCGGCGAAUAAGCAUCGGCUAACUCCGUGCCAGCAGCCGCGGUAAUACGGAGGAUGCAAGCGUUAUCCGGAUUUAUUGGGUUUAAAGGGUGCGCAGGCGGCUUGCUAAGCGGGAGGUGAAAUGCCGGCGCUCAACGUCGGAAGUGCCUCCCGAACUGGUGGGCUGGAAUGACUCUGCCGUGGGAGGAAUGUGUAGUGUAGCGGUGAAAUGCUUAGAGAUUACACAGAACACCGAUUGCGAAGGCAUCUCACGAAGGGUUGAUUGACGCUGAGGCACGAAAGCGUGGGGAUCAAACAGGAUUAGAUACCCUGGUAGUCCCCU